UUUCUCUCCGCCUCUUCCACGCUCGCUGGUUCCCGCUUGCCUUUCUCUGUUCGGGGCUGCAGUGUGAAGGGCUCUCCCCUCUGUGGCCUCUGCUCUGCCCCAGGAGGACAGCCUAGAGGAAGAAGGAAUGGCUCCUGCCCUGACAGCCAGGCCGGGGAAGGUUAUUGUUUGUCCUUCAUUCUGAAGAGUGCCAGGUCAUCUAGAAGAGGAUGCUUUGACUUGCAAAUGAAUUGGAUUUAAGUGAGGGAGGGCUGCACUAGGUCACUACCCUGACUUUCUCCUGUGAAGCCAGUUGAGUCCAGUGGCAAGAUAUAGAUCAGCAAGACUUGAGAUGCGCCCCCCCCCCUCCACUGUUGAUGGAUCUACAACUUGGAGCAGCUAUUCUUGAAAGCACUUUGGAAUAAUGCUGAGACAGUUACUAAAGUGUGCACCUUCUCUUUGGCCCAGCGAUAUUACUGUUAGGUUCAGAGGGAUCAGAGAAAGAGAAAAUGACCCACAUGUACAAAAGCAUUGAUAGCAGCUCUUUUUGUGGUGGCAAAGAAUUGGAAACUGAGAAGAUUCCCAUCGUUUGUGGUAUUAUUGUGGUAUACAACGAUGAUGGGAAAAUGUUGUACUAUAAGAAGUCCCCCAAGGAGCUUUUUCGUGGAACCCAAGGAAGCCUUGUAUGAAUCACUGCAGAAUAGAGUAAGCAGAGCAGGAGAAAAAUUUAUCCAAUGUCAACAUUGUAAAGACAAACCACUUUGAAAGAUUUAAAAAUUCUGAUCAGCACAGUGACCAACCAUUCUUUUUCUCAAGAGGAUUCCUGAUGAAAUAUGCUACCCAGCUUCUGACAUUUAUGUGAUUGACUUUUAUACUUGACAUUCCAGUGAAUAGUCUGAAUUAAUUUCUUUAAGUAUUGACAGAUUGACCCCUGCUUUCCAAGGGGCUCUCAAAAAUAUUCUCCAGCUCCACAAUUCAAAAGCAUGCAUUCUGGGAUACUCAGCUUUCCUCCUACUUUGGUCGUGACCAAUGUGGGAGUUUGUUUUGCCUGCCUGUGAGUUGUUAUUGGAAGGAUUUUGCCUAUCUUUUGCCCCCCCAAUGUGGAGGGGUAAGCUGGAGUGCUAGAAAAGAGAUUUUUGUUAAGGGUGGUCCUCCUUCUUUAGACUGGAGGAGGAAUGAUGAGAAGAAUCCCUUUGGGUAUGGGCAUGCCUCCUACCUGGUACCCCAUCAUGCCUUUUUGUGUAAUGUAAAACAAGAGUUUAAGGCUCAAGCUCUUGAUUCACAUUUCCUGUUUCAGUAAAUGCUCUGUUGAAAUGAAUUAAACUAGAGAGUGAAGAGGCAGCAAAGUACAAAGAAAAGACUAGCUUGUAUGUGAGAAGGCUUGCAUUUGAGAGUUAGCUGCAUCAUCAUGGAUCAGAUCUGAUCCAUUUCACACAUGUUUUUAUGCCUCUCCAGCUGGGUUCAUGGGACAUAUCCUAAGCUCUGUAACCUUCCUUUUCCCACUUCCCAGCCUCAUGAUUUUUUUUUGCUUGUUACAGUCUUCCUGUGUUUUGAAAAUAAACUUGUACUCUAAACCAUUGAUAGGUUUUUGCACUUGCUAGAUAAAGAUCUGGAAACAAACAUAGAAUACGUGAACCUUGA